ACGCCUGAGCCCCUUAAUCCACACACACCUGUGAACCAAUUGUAAGGGCCCCCUGAAAAGGGCCUUUACGUCUUAUUCAUCAACCCAUUGCAUGUCUCAGAAUGUAAACAUAUGUCCUCGCCUUAAAAAGCGUUGAUAAACUUAUACAACUUUCAACAACGGAUCUCUUGGCUCUCGCAUCGAUGAAGAACGCAGCGAAAUGCGAUAAGUAAUGUGAAUUGCAGAUUUUCAGUGAAUCAUCGAAUCUUUGAACGCACCUUGCGCUCCUUGGUAUUCCGAGGAGCAUGCCUGUUUGAGUGUCAUUAAAUUCUCAACUCCGAUCGAUUUGUUUCGACCUCGGAGCUUGGACUUUGGAGCGUGCUGGCGUCGGUCGGCUCCUCUCAAAUGCAUCAGCGGAAUCUAACGUUUCGGACGUCAGUGUGAUAAUCACGUUGCGCUGUCAACCGAUCCUGAAAGGCCCGCUCAUAAUGGUCUUCGGACAACUUCAUAUCAAAUUUGACCUCAAAUCAGGUAGGACUACCCGCUGAACUUAAGCAUAUCA
rnacentral:rRNA from 1 species